GGCCCGGGGGCCGCGAGGCUGCGCAGGUUGACGGGCCGGCGAGGCGGUGAGCUCUGGUCGGGAGCGCUCGACCGGCCGCGCCCGCGCUCACCUCGCCGCGCUCCCCGAAGCCCGCCCAGGAGGCACGUCCGCCGCUCCUGCCGCCCCGCACCCGCCACGGCCCCGCAAGGCACGGGGGAGAACGGUCGUAAAGUACCGGGUGUGACCACGCUGAUUGGCCCAGGGCUGGGCGUGUGACUUGUCAGAGCCAAUGAGAGGCAUCGAGACUCAGGCUAAACAUUCUGGAACGAAGAUACCCGUUCUUUUGUGCUGGACUCAAAGCCCCGGCGAGACGGGCCGGAGCAGCUGGCGCUCGCUCGCUGCGGUGGGGAACCUGAGCCUGAAGCCAACCUGCAGAACAGAGAGAAAUGGUGGGAGACUGAGUCCUGCAUCCAGCCAUCCCCGAAGCUGGGAUAAUCCCUGUACAAUACAGAAGUGCAGGCUUCCGUGGCUCAGCGUACUUCUUUUGCUUGUCACUCAGUUUUCUGUGACUUGCGGUUGAAAGAAUCCCAGUCAAUACCAGUAUUUACUACCACAUUUAACUAAUCCUAAAGCAUAGUUUUGUUUUCAUUUUAACAUCUCUGAGAUUAGGAGUGCAUCUUACAAUUAAUGGCAACAUCCUGUAGAGCCAUCGUUGUGAAUUUGAGAAACAGAAUAUUCGGGGGUUGUCUUCAACUGAGUUAGGGGUACUGUUGGUACUGCAUGUACUGCAUUUAGUGCUAUUUAAAAUGUCUUCAGAAGAUUAUAUUGUGAGUCAGCACUUGGAUAAAAAGUGAUUAGAGACAAAGGCAGGGUUACUGAGCAAAAGGGAGUGAAGUUACUGUUAGUGAAAUGACUUUUCUGUGUAGGAAUGACUGCCCAUUUCUUACAAAACAACAAGAAGUGCUUUAUACAACCUAAGAUAGGAAGUUACCCACAAGUAGAAGUUGUGUUACAUUUUGUUCCUGAGAUAGUGGUAAAAAAUGGCCUGUGUAUCAUACACCACACAAUGCAACUGAAGGCAGAAGAGAUUGUGGAAUCUCAGAAGAGAUGAGAGGAAUUUUAAAGCGAGGGGACUAUUAAGACACUGUGCGCUGUCUCAGCGCAGUCGCUGGUAUAUUUUCUUUGUGGUGCAUCUAUAACCACUGGAACACAUUAUCACUCCCAUUUGCGAAAACGCUGUUCAAGUCUCUUGCUUAAGGUUCCUACUGGUUAAGGGAAACAGAGAACUGAGGACAUCCGCCCAUCCCUGCCCUGCUGUCUGAGCACUCUGGCCUAGACUGGCUGAGUGGAGGGUUAGGCCACAGCUUCAAGUUCUCUGUAAUCACUCCAACCCUUCUGUGAAGUGUGGGACACAUCAUGUGUGUGGAAAUAGAGACCCCAGGUUAACUGCUCCUCUGUUGGUUUGCUGCCUAGAUGAUCUGUCCAGUACUGAGACAGGGAGUAAAAAAGGGGUUACGGCCCUUUACCACGUGGCGGCGCCAAAGAACAGCUUAUAAAGCCGAAUCCCUCAGUAAAGAUGUUCUGCAGGAAAGACAUUCCCAGCCUGGACUCCUUUUCUCUCUGGGAAACAAACACACAA